ACCUGGGUGGCUCAGUCAGUUGAGCAUCUGCCUUCAGCUCAGGUCAUGAUCUCAAGGUCCUGGGAUCAAAUCCCAGUUCAGGCU
rnacentral:tRNA from 1 species